AUACUUACCUGGCAGAGGAGAUACCAUGAUCACGAAGGUGGUUUUCCCAGGGUGAGGCUUAUUCAUUGCACUUCGGAUUUGCUGACCCCUGCGAUUUCCCCAAAUGUGGGAAACUCGACUGCAAAAUUUGUGGUAGUGGGGGACUGCGUUCGCGCUUUCCCCUG
ensembl:snRNA U1 U1 spliceosomal RNA